GGUGGGGUGGCAGAGCGGCCCAUUGCGCCUGCCUUGAAAGCAGGUGGCGUUAUGCCUCCUGGGUUCAAAUCCCAGCCCCACCG
rnacentral:tRNA from 1 species